rnacentral:rRNA from 1 species
GACGAACGCUGGCGGCGUGCUUAACACAUGCAAGUCGAACGAUGACGGUGGUGCUUGCACCACCUGAUUAGUGGCGAACGGGUGAGUAACACGUGAGUAACCUGCCCCCCACUUCGGGAUAACCUCGGGAAAUCGUGGCUAAUACCGGAUACGAGCACUCAUCGCAUGGUGGGUGCUGGAAAGAUUUAUCGGUGGGGGAUGGACUCGCGGCCUAUCAGUUUGUUGGUGAGGUGAUGGCUCACCAAGACGAUGACGGGUAGCCGGCCUGAGAGGGCGACCGGCCACACUGGGACUGAGACACGGCCCAGACUCCUACGGGAGGCAGCAGUGGGGAAUAUUGCACAAUGGGCGAAAGCCUGAUGCAGCGACGCCGCGUGGGGGAUGACGGCCUUCGGGUUGUAAACCCCUUUCAGUAGGGAAGAAGCGAGAGUGACGGUACCUGCAGAAGAAGCGCCGGCUAACUACGUGCCAGCAGCCGCGGUAAUACGUAGGGCGCAAGCGUUGUCCGGAAUUAUUGGGCGUAAAGAGCUUGUAGGUGGCUUGUCGCGUCUGCCGUGAAAACCCGAGGCUCAACCUCGGGCGUGCGGUGGGUACGGGCAGGCUAGAGUGUGGUAGGGGAGACUGGAACUCCUGGUGUAGCGGUGAAAUGCGCAGAUAUCAGGAAGAACACCGAUGGCGAAGGCAGGUCUCUGGGCCAUUACUGACACUGAGAAGCGAAAGCAUGGGUAGCGAACAGGAUUAGAUACCCUGGUAGUCCAUGCCGUAAACGUUGGGCACUAGGUGUGGGGGACAUUCCACGUUUUCCGCGCCGUAGCUAACGCAUUAAGUGCCCCGCCUGGGGAGUACGGCCGCAA